rnacentral:lncRNA from 1 species
UUUUUUUUUUAAAGGUUUUGAUUGUUGUUGUUAAUGGGGAUGUAUGUGCUUUCGACUAUAAAAGAUUUAGCUUGGAUUUCUAGCAAUUUUCCAUCACAUGCAUGCAUAAAGUAAGCUAUAACACUCUGACCUUUUCCGACAAGAUAUUGCCCGCUUUGGGCAUAGCUAAACCCUCACGGAUUUUAUUUCAGGUGCAUAACAAUAACUUUCCAAAAGGUCGCUCAUUUUGCACCAUUCCACCAAAAACACGUUGAAUUUUAGAUUUUUUUACAAAAAUUCUUACAUCUCACCCUAAAAACACAUCUUAUCAAUUAAAGAUGUAUUAUUACUUAUAACUCAUAAAUCUCUUUAUUCAGUGUACACUUUGUUAUUUGAAGUUACAUACCACUAUCCUUUAUUUUCUUAUCAUCCCCCAUCAUCCAUUGCUAAAAACAUAUUGGAAGUUUUUUUCUAAUGAUAAAGAGCAUCCAAUCAAAUAUGUUUAUGUGUAGGUAACCAUACCAAAUUUAAUUUCGGUUGGCUAUUGUACCAGGAUGCUUAAUUCACCAUCGUGACUGACAACUGCUCCUACUAGUGCUAUGGAUUGACCCAAGGUGGAAGCCAGUAGGCUAGGAAAUGGCCAAAUUUCGCUGCCCAGGUAUAUUCUCUUAACCAGUCAACCACUCACCAAGCUCUUAACAAAGAAUUUCGUUGGAGUUGCCUCUGCUAGAAGUACUCAAAUUCGUGGUGCAAAUAUUUAAACUAUCCUCUAACCAAGUGUUUAACCAAAUGGUCGAUUAUUUUGAUUUAACCUAAACAAUACCAUUAGUUAUUGACCUGGCUCACAUUAUUAUUACGACAUUUCAAUCCUCAAAUUUUAAUAAUUACUGAAGUAAGGUGAAGAGUGAAAUGGCAUGACAAAAUUACUAAUUUAGAAACUCAAUCAUUUUUAAUUUAGUGGUAAUCUAGCCGCCAGCCAUGCAGAUAUUUUACAUUACAAAUCUAUUUCCAGUCAUAUUCCAACUUCCACAAACCAACAAACAAACUCAAACAAUCAGCUCUACCAUCAUUACUGCUGCCUGCUUGCAACCAUUCCAUAUACAGCGACUACAAGUAGUACAACCAAAAUUCGGUUGCUCUUACUUGAAACAGAUGACGCUGUUGAGAACCUGAAUCUUUGAGCUUGGUCCCUGGCCAGAUGUAAAAAGGACAGCAUGGAAGGAACUAAGAGUUUUAGCAACAAGUAACUGAAGCAAACAAAAGAAAUCUGAGUCCAAAAAUGGUAUGAUCAGUUCUUACUUCUGUAAAUGUGACAAUAAGCCACAGUAUAUAGCGUUAUCUGGCAGACCAAACUCGCCUUUGUCUUCCUCUGGGUUUACUACGCUUACAUACACUUCCUGGCCUAGAUACCAUGAGUCCAGAUUCUCAGCGCGAAGAUUCCACAUCCCGGCAUUGUCUAGGUAUACCAGGACAGCAGUCCAAGCUCCAGGGAAUACCUGUAAUGAGACCAUUCAAUAUACUCUCAUACGACUUCCAGGCCUAUAAUCCGAAUAAGAAAAGAAAAAGUACCUGGAUCGUGCUGCGAGCAACGCCAUCCCAUUUGUUGUAGGUGCCUCUGCUAUUAUCUGUCCACACUCCAAAAUCCAUACUGCAAAUGGAAAAGUAGAGCAUGGAGAAUGUGUCUCGUUUCAUAUUCGACAUUAUGAAAUUCAUGAUCAAAACCAUAAAUAAUAGCAUUUGAAACUGGGAAAAGCUUACCCCACUACAAAGAAAGCAUAUCCGUCCAUAUGAUAGCUCUGUACAGAGGUAUCAUUAUUCUGGAAUAUGAUCUCAGUAAAACUUUUGAAAGUACCAUUUAUUAGAGAAGUAUCUAGCUUUGAAGGUCUAUUCAUCAUCUGAUUGGGGAAGUCGAGCUUAUAGAGUCCAGGAAUCUUGUAUUGCUGGGCAAGCGUCAAAGGCGUUGAAGGUUGCAAGUAAGAAAUGCCAUUAAGAGUGGUCAUCCAUUUUCCAUUUAUCAUCUCUGCUGGUCUAUUGGCAAUCACAUAUACAUCUGUCACUGUAAUCUGGCCAUAUUUGAAAGACCCCUGUGGAUUCGGGCGAGCAGCACCAGCAGAUACAUUUGAUCUGCAGAAUCCCAGCACAAAGAGAAAUCAGAAAUUAGUCAGUCCAAUGGGAGUAGACUUGUUUACUUUAACUAUACAACCUUACGGAGGUUGGAAAAAUAGCACAGACUUUGUAUAACUUUAACUAAACAACCUUAUUGAUCUUGCUUGAUUCAUUGAGAAAAACGUAUCGUAUGCAUUAGGAGGAUCAGGAAGAGGACCUGAAGCAGGCCCCUGGGAAUUGGAGUAGUGCAGGAUGCUAACCCCAGAAGCUUUGUUCCAGGUAGAUGAGUUAACAUAUCUCGGACUAGCAACGAUAUAAUAAUCAGUGGUAGCAUUCUGGUCCAUCGACACUAGGAACGAAUAUGACUGGCCCACAUGGAUAUCCAUGUUGGUGUAAUUCUGCUGGACUGUAUACGAACCUUCUGUCUCCACAAGAAGUAAGUUGUGAUUUUGUAUUCUAAAGUUCAAGGUGGUUGAUAUUCCCACAUUGUGCACUCGGAAACGAUACGUCUUUCCUGUUUAAGACAUUUUCAAAGGGGGGUUAAAACCAAUAUUGUCGCAGUUGCUUGUUGUCAAGAAAUCCAGAGCAUGUACAAUUCAUCAAAACUCCAAAGAAAGCAAGAUGGCAAGUAACUAGUUAUAGUAUCAUAUAACGUUACUGACGAUGUCAUGUAGUCAACAAUACAGAUGAAAAAUGGUGAAAAAGGGAGGAUAUAUACUUUUGAUAGUUCAUUCACUAACAAAUAGCAUGAUGCUGAACAAAAAUUAAAAAGUGCUACUCAAUUGGCAGGAAAAGCAUCUCUUCACAUUAGAAAUGUACAGACUUCAGGCAGAUCCUUCAAAUGUUAAAACUUGGACUCACAAAGGUUUGCAUAUAUGCUGAAUUUGCACCAGCAAGUUCAUUCCGACCACGAGAAAUACAAAUAAAACGCGAUUUUGACAAUUUAUAUACACACAUCCGAGAAGCUUACCUGGUUCAACACUUAUUAUCUGGUAAGUAGUGCCUUCUUGGACAAGUGCUUGAUCAUACCUGUACGGACCAAAUCCAUUCAUGAGGAUACCAUCAGGAGGACCAAGAUUCUUCCCAUUUUCAACAUCUUUCCUUAAAUCCUGCUCCCGCCCACAAGUAUUAAAUCAGCCACUGAAACUAACUGAACAAGCCAAAAGAAUUUUGAACAAGGAAAGAAGACUUGAUUUGAAUAAUGCACAACCUUAUGUCUUCUGGUGUACCAGUCACCAAUGAAGAGGGUGAUAUCUCCGUCAGGCAAUGGAAAAGGCAAGGCAAUAACUUCCCUAUUGUUGACAAUGAUCCCACCAUAGCCUCCUGCAGCUCGCUGGAAACUCAAGGAAGGGAAGUAGAAGAAACUCCCAAUCUGAUCCUUCACCUGGAACGAAUAAGUCCAGUUCCAUCCAGCAGGAAUGGGACAAUUAGUCCCCGGAACACCAUCUUGCCAUGAGUUCUUCCUAUGCUGUAUUCCAUUCCUGGAUGUGGGGGAGAAAACAUAGAGGAACUAAAAAGUUUGUCUCUUUUCUCACUCUUUCUUAAACUUUUGUUUUGAAACUGGUAAUGUAAAGAAACGCAUAGUUACCAAGUAAGAAGCAGUGGCUCAUCCAGCUGGUUCUUGACAUUAACAACAACGUUCCAGUUUGUAGUGACGUUAAGAACGGGUCCUGGGAAUUGCCCAUUGAUGCCAAUCACCUGUAGCAACAACCCAAUUCUCGUGCUAAGCUAACAGAAGUUGACUUAAUCCAAAAAUCACAUCUUUUCUAAAUGAAGAGAGAACAAAAAGAGGGGGGAGCUGACCUGUUGUUUGAGGGAAAGAGGGGAAGCGGAGAUGUAGGAGACGGUCCAAUCGAAGAAGACAUAAGGGUCUCCUGCUAAACUAGUUGUGGCCGUCAGCAGCAAGAGCAGCAAUAUAAGGAGUGGAGUUUGCAUUAUUUGUUGAAUGGCGUCAGUCGGAAUCCUCCCGUUUUCUAAAUAUGUUUGUCUCUGGGAGGGAAUUUGGACGAUUGGGUGAAUGGGUUUAUGAUAUCAUUAGAACUGAUUCCGAGCACAUGGGCCGCCGUGGCUUUUGCUGCUGAGACAGCUUGGGUUGGUUUGGCUGUAUUGAAUUUUGUACUAUGAGAGACGCUGCUGAAUGCUGAUGCAGUGCUGCUGCUGCUUUCUGCUACUUUGCAGCACUGGCCAAUAUUUUCAAAGAGAUGUGGGCCAUUUGUGUCUGCGGAAUAAUUUAUUCAUUCAUUCGUUUGAGUUUGGAUUUGGUUAAUUACUGUUAACAUAAAAGGAAAAGGGAAACGAGAUCAAAGCUCUCUCGCCAGUACUAAUGAAUCAUGUCGGUAUGAUUUGGAUAGUAGUGUGUCAGGCGAUCAUGAUUUGGAAACCAUGAGAAACUAAAAUGUGAACAUCAACAGCAAGAGAAAUGCAAACAGAAAAAAGAAAUCAACAAAGAAUGACCAAUAUUGAACCCCACCAUCAGCUUUCGGCUUUCGACUGUAAUGGACCGCGCCAAAGCACCGACUGCCACCAAUUUGAAAGCAAGGUCAGUUCCUUUUUUUUUAACUAGGGGGUGUUUGAGAGUUGGAAUUCAAUUCUCAAUAAGGAUUCUGCAGAAUUAUUUGUUUAAAAAUCCUUUAAUUCUGAAUCACAAAUUUUGAAAAGGUAUGAUUGUUAGUAUUGAGAAUGAAAUAAAUACUAAAUGGCGAGAGUGAGAGUUUGCAGUAAAGUUUCAGUUUAACAAGAAUGAUGUGUAGAAAUGACAGUUUGAUCUUAGAAAAAAAAAUUAGAGAUGAGAUCUAUUUAAUGAGUUUCAGUAAUAUAAAAUACUUUGUAUUUAUACAAAACGGACGGACAGUAAGUCAAACACUCAUCUAAUUAAGUGUUCAAUGCUUAUGUGCACUGAUUUUGUAAACAUUUAAUGCAUUGUUUAUCUCUUACUAUUUGAGUUUGGACUUCAUUACUAAUUUUCACGAGAGAUUAACAUAUACUAAAUUUUGGACUUCAUGAUUAAAUUGACUAAUAAAGGUAUGGAUUUGGAAUUUUAUUUUCAGAAUUGGGAAAUGUCGGAAUAAAAAAUUGGAAAAGAUUGAAAUUGGCUGGGUUUUUGUAGUUGACUCGAAGUAGAUUAUGUUGCAUUGAGUUAGAUUUUUAAUUGAUAAUUAAAGGUGACCUGCCAAGGCAGCCAAGCUGGUGUCAUUGAACAUAUGUGUAUGGAAAUACUAAUUUGUUACCAAGAUCUUUAUCGAGCAGUGAUUAAUGUGUCACAUAACCCAAACUUUAAUGACCAAAAAUGCUUUCUACUCAAAUAUAUAUGUCUUCCCGCUUCUCGCGAUCCCCACUCUCCUUCUUUCCGCGCGUGAUACCACUCCGCUCCAUAAUCAAGAUAUUAGAAAUCCCAUCCUACUGCAUGCGCCCGCGUGGCACCUUGCUCUUCUUCAUUCACCCUUAAGAUCCACACCAAUUUACUAACAUGCCAUUCAAGUGAGGCACAUGGCCACAUGAAAUGAUUGUUUUCCAUAAUCUGAUAUCUCUCUGCGUCUCUUUUCACAAAAUCUUACAUCUCUACUCCAUUGACGAAAGCGCAAUCAAAGCUUCCAUGUUCGUCAUAUUCUUCUUUCAAAUAGCGCGAGGAGUGGCCAAGAGAGGAGCUAAGCUCCUUGACAGAAUGGCUCUCGCUUCUCUUCUCUCUUUUCUUCUCUAUAUCGCAGUCUCAAUCCCUAGCGCGGUCUCGGAUCAGGAGACGAAUCACACUUCAAUCUACGAUGUCUUGAAGGAGAAAGGGCUGCCGAUGGGAUUGCUACCAAAAGGAGUUAGGGAUUUCAAAUUUGACGAGUCGUCGGGUCUUUUUGAGGUUCAUUUGGAUCAAGCCUGCAAUGCCAAGUUCGAGAACGAGCUGCAUUACGAUAGCAAUGUCACGGGGAAGCUCAGCUACGGUCAGAUCGAGGCCCUAUCCGGAAUCUCGGCCAAGGAGCUGUUCCUCUGGUUCCAGGUGAAGGCAAUUCGGGUUGACGUUUCGGAUGCGGGGCUUAUUUGCUUUGACGUUGGGGUCGUGGUGAAGAAAUUUUCUGUUUCCUUGUUCGAGGCUCCCAAGGAUUGUGCUACUGCAGCUGCAGAUGAGGAGAGGGAGGAAGUCGCAACUGAGAGGUUUAUUGAAGAUGCUUUGGCUACGGUUUGAUUAUUUUCUCCAUUUUCUUGUUCUCCAUUCCAUAUCCGAUUGUCUGUAAUUGUCUGAUGAAUCAAGCUUGCUUGCUGGGUUAUGUGCUCCGGAGAUUCACUCUCUUCUCGUGUUUAAUAUGCAGAGUCAGUUUGUUGACAAAGAAACAUUUGGAAGGGAUGUACUGUAAGUUUCUCAUUUCGCCAUGGAAGUUUCAUGGAAGAAUUCUUUUCCCAAUACUGCCAUUUGGAUGGAUUAGUAGUGGUCUCAGCAUCAUGGUACUUGGGUUGCGGUAACAAAUGAAGUUGCUGUAUCAGGAAGAAUAAUCGGGAAAGGAAGAGACGACUCUGAUGAAGAUGAGUACAAUGGCACAUUGAGGUUGGAAAGCAUUUUAGUCCUCUGAUACGUUUUAUCAAAAUUAUAUUGUUUUUGUCAUUUUAGUUAAAUAAGCCUUCAAAUAUUUGCCACGUACUGGCCUUUGGUUUGUUACCUGUUGUUAUCGUUGGUAAAGCAGUAAAAACGAAAAUCUACCAUGAAGGCAAUGAAUAAAACAGAGAGCUGGUUCAAUUCUUGCACUUCAGCGAUUCUUAUUCUCCUAAAACACUCUAUUCCAUUUUCUCUCAACUCUAAUAUGCAGCGUUGAUGGGACUCAGAUCAAUGAGGCAGCGAUGUGACAUUCUGUAGCCAACGCAGGAAAUUUUUGGAGGAGAUGAUACGAUGAGGUGAUAAACUGCGUAUUCGCGCAAACUUAGUAUUGAAUUUCUUGUGCCCGUAUGACUAUGGAUUUGGUUGAGUCGAUUUUUUGGAGUGGUUUCUUUGGAGUGUGGUAUAUAGAUAUGGUGUGAGUUGUAUAUGUUCAGGAAUAAGAACUCAGUAAUAUGAAGGCUGUAUUGCCGCCAUGUUUCAUACUAGAAUUCUGAUCUCAAUCUGGGUUACAUGUGGACGCAGUAUGUGGGUACUCGAUCUGUUACGCCAAAUGAAUGGUUACUGCACAAUCCAUCCUUUUAGUUUCUGGAAGGCAAGCACAGCUGACAUUGUUGUGCAUAGAUAUAAAACCACCACUAUUGGUGAUUUAAUUCAUUCACUGCUAGAGAACUCAGAGAAGCAGUGAUACUGGUUAUUACUUCACUCGGGCCUUGAAAAAGCAUUUGGGAUUCCGUUACCAUUGUCUAUUUUGAUUCUAGAAUGUUAAUUUUGGAGUUUGGAUCUGCACAACUUCAGCAGGCGGCACACAUGAGUUGCAGGGCAGUUAUAGAUAACGGGAAUGCAGAUUUGGCAAUAGUAUUGAAGUUUGCCUUCUUCAUUUGACAGUGUGGUGUAUCAGCCUUGAAAAUCUAGCCAGCCACCUCUGCAUCAGCAUUACGAGCUGGAUGAAAAUUAAGUAUGCAAAAUGCAGAGCUUGUAUUUGAGUUCUUCCAUUUGGUUUCGACCCAUAUGUUACCCUGUUGUGUUAUUAUGUUGAUUUUGCACAAUCGCCAGUUUCUCAGUGCAAAUGGAGUUCAAAGCUGAUUGACAAUGGAAUGCAUUGAAGAAGAUUACGGGGUUGAUCCCUUGAUGGACGUUGUUUAACAGCCGGUAAAGUAGCUUUCCGGCACAUCCAAACCCAUUAAUUAUAUAUCAUACUCUGUCAAAGGGCUUCUAAGCUGUCAUAUCAUAUAUACGAUUUUACAAAUAUAAAUAAUUAAUAUCAUAAUUAGUUUUGAGUAGAAAUUCGUUGCACCUCAAUUACAAAUACUGUUUAGCACUUUGGAUGGAUUGAGUAACCGCGAUUUAGAAAUUUAUAAAAUACGAUUCUAAUUAUCGUGAGAUAUUUUGACCAUCUCUUUUAAAGUGUGAAUCCACUUUUGAAUAUUAGAUGAAGAUGAAAUAUCUAAAUAAAUUUGUUAGCAGUACCAAAAGGACCCAAAUCUUACACCUAGCUGAUUUUUGGACUAAACAUUUUGUAAUAAGGUCUAAUAAUUCAGUAAUUUUUUUUAAAUAGCUGAAAAUACUUUAAAAAGCGUAAAUAUUUGUACGAUAGAGAUAAAGGCGCGUGGUCACAAUCCCAACCGUCCAAGUCUUUCCGCCAGAAAUCAAGAAUCACCCAAACGCAGCUCCGUAGUCCGUUGAAAAAUCCGUUCAUAAUAUUUCUUUUUGUUAUCAAGAAGGAUCCAAGCUAUUUAUCCAUCUAUCUCCUUCCUGAACUCCAUCGCUUCACUUCCAUCCCCUCUGUCGGAAUUCGCCUAUCCGCGGCGGAUUCCCUUCUUACCGGCGACCGAGUCCUCUUCUCUCUGAUUUUGAUAAUUAUCCUCUUUCUAAAUAGGGAAUCCCAAUGGCUUCCUCAAUUUAUUAUCCCUCCCCCGCACUCCCAAUUCCACUACUACGGCCACAAUCAAAGCUCCUGACGGCGAAGCCACUGAAUUAUGUUCCUAUGCCGGCAUUGGCUUCUCCACUUUGCACUUUGAUUUCUACAAAUCAGAAGAAGAAGAAUGACGGGGCACUGUUCACGGUCGCCUGCUCCAGCUCUGCCUCGCCGUUCUUCGGCAGAGUUGGGUCACAGCGAAGGGAAGGGAACUCUUGUCUGCUGUACUUCGGAGUCAAUUACCCGAAUGCGGAGGCCGCCAAGACCAAUUCUUCUCAGGUUCUCUCUGCAAUGCUUCCCUUUGUCGUUGCCGCUACUGCCGUUGCAGCUCUUGCUCAGCCGUCCACUUUCACUUGGUGAGCCCUCACCAGUGCUGUUUUCUUUCGUGUUCGGUUACUUGACGGUGAUUCUGGGUUGCUAUGCGCCCUUUAUGUCUGAUAAAAUGCCCCUUGGGACUUUUCUCUGUAAUAUGGAGGCCUUCGAUUAUGCGAAAGAACAAAAUAGCUCGUCAGCUAGCAAAUUGUUUUAUAUCAUGUCUAAUGUUUAGAUUUCGAGGGUGAUCCCCGAGGGAUACUUUAUUCAUUUGGUAUUAUAGGAAAUAAUUUAAUAAUGGUUUCGACUUCCUUUGAUGAAUGGCCACUUGUUCAGCUUCUAUGAUGAGAAACUGGUUUUGAAUUUUGAUUUCGUAGUUCAGUUCAACAUCUUCGUCUCACUCUUUUCCCUAGCUAACAUCUCUGAUAUUGCACAAGGUUACUUUGGAAUUGCGAUUGCCAUAUGAGCUUUUUCUAUAUUUGCUCACCUUCAUUUAUUAUAUGCGACUGCUGGUUUUCAUGGUCAUUCUGAUUGUCAUUUUUGGAAAUAUUUUGCUAUGCAGGGUGUCUAAGGAUCUGUAUGCUCCAGCACUCGGUGGAAUCAUGCUGUCAAUUGGAAUUAAACUAUCGAUUGAUGACUUUGCUCUGGCAUUUAGAAGGUACUACUCUCUUGUUUCCGAGCUGCUUGCUAGUUGUUACCAGUUUGAAACUUAGAUUCAGUUUGCAUCCACUUAUUGAAAUUCCCGAGUUCAGAAUAUGCUCCCAAUUUUCUUUAUCUUUCAUCUGUUUGCAGACCUUUACCACUGUCUGUUGGGUUUAUCGCGCAGUAUGUGCUCAAACCGGUCCUUGGGUUAUUCAUUGCAAAGGCAUUUGGGAUAUCGCAGAUGUUCUAUGCGGGAUUUGUUCUCACCUCAUGUGUUGCUGGGGCACAGUUAUCUAGCUAUGCUAGUUUUUUAAGUAACGGUGAUGUUGCACUGAGCAUUCUGCUUACUAGCUCAAGCACCAUUGCAUCGGUAAUCGUCACGCCUCUUUUGACUGGGCUAGUCAUUGGCUCCGUUGUUCCAGUUGAUGCUAUUGCGAUGUCAAAAUCAAUCUUGCAGGUAUGUCAUAUGCGAUUACGAAUCUUGAUCAGAUAUUUUUUCUUAAUAGUUUUGCAGUUGCUUAACUACUCUCUUCUCUUGUGUUGGUUGCAGGUUGUUCUUGUUCCCGUCACUCUUGGUCUUGCACUGAAUACGUAUGCAAAGCCAGUUGCCGAUUUUAUACAACCUGUGAUGCCCGUUGUUGCUAUGGUGUGUACCUCCUUAUGCAUUGGCAGUCCUCUAGCCAUAAACAGGAGCCAGAUUCUGUCUGCAGAAGGUCUCCGGCUUGUUCUUCCGGUACUGACAUUUCAUGCAGUGGCAUUCACUCUGGGGUACUGGGUCUCCAGGAUUCCAGCUCUGAGGUAAUCCUGACCCACUGCGUAAUUCAACUUUAGCAGUUUUCACGUGAAGCGGCUCAAAACUAAGCAUAUUUGGUGUUGUGGUGCAGGCUAGACGAGGAAGUUAGCAGGACGAUAUCGCUGUGCACAGGGAUGCAAAGCUCAACAUUAGCAGGACUUUUAGCAAGCCAGUUCCUUGGAAGCAGCCAAGCGGUUCCACCGGCAUGUUCAGUGGUUGCAAUGGCAAUAAUGGGUCUUUGCCUUGCAUCUUUCUGGGGCAGUGGGUUCCGGAUAAGAGACCUACUAUCUCACUUGAUUCCGGAAUUGAGCUCCACCGUUGAGGCUUAGCCGACAGGAUAUAUCAUUUAGCGAUCUGCAGAAAGAGCCUCGAGAGUGGGGGGUUUUAACGGCAUUUCUUGGAGAGCAAGGUAUAGAAAUGUAACAUAUAGGAGAAGAUUUGGGGGCAUAGCGGUGGAAGUUGGAAGUAGGGUACACUUGAAGCUCUCUGCCCAUUGUGUAUACGAACACUUGAAAAAUAGUGUUUAUUAGUGUAAAUUCUCGUCUCUUUCUUGUGUCAAGUCAAGUCCCCAUCUUUAUGUAACCACCUUGAGAGUUGAGAUGGGUAUUGGUUAGUGUUUCUGAAGCCAUGAAAAGUAAUAUAAUUUGCAAGACAUCUGAAUUUUUUUCCUCGAAGAAGAUUGCUUGUAUAUAAAUCUCAACUUUUUUGAAAGAAAGGUUUUUUCUUUUUCUAACGUAUCACUUGAGAUAAAAAAAAACUUUUAAAUACAAUAUCAUAAUGAGUUUUUCGCAUGAAUUUCUCGUAUGUGAAUUGAAUUAAUGUAGAGCUUUGCGAGCCGCAAAAAAAGUAACUCCAUUAGACUGACGGAGAGAUUUAGUAGAGAACAAAAAAGCUGACGGGAUUUUGCAGAAAGAAGUACAUUUUUAAGCCGGUGAUUACCACUAGGGCCAUGUUUAGGGAUUUCGGGACCUAAAAAAUUCAGUGCUUUAUUUUUUGAAAUCAGGAUCGGACCAUUAGCAUAAUAAAUCACGGGCGAACCCCAAUCUCGAUUGGCUAACCGGAUCAACCAUCGAUGUGGCCCCUUACUCAAAACCGCAAACCAUUACCGCCUGGAUCACCAGUUUUCGGGCGGACCGAUUUUUGACAGCAAUGGCCCAAGGCUAGGGCCUAGCAGGCAAGCCCAACGUUAGGCCGAAGGAGUCGAUCUAAAAAAAGAGAAGGGUAACAGAUGUAUAAAAGGAGGCGAAGAUUGCGUUUCAUAACAACAUUGUAACUUUCUCCCUUGGCCUCUUCCUUCCGAUUACGAGCUCUGGGUUUUCUCUUGUUUUCGCUCAUUUGUUCCGUCUCUUCAGUUCAUCUUGAUGUAUGUAUUUUUCUUUUCUCUGGUUCUCCGGUUUUUGCCUGAAUUGGGCGGUUUCAUCAGUCCUUCUUUGGAAUUGGGAUAUAUUUUUGGAGUGUUUGUGUGAUACGGAGCUCAUUCUCUCUUGUUCUUGGGUUUCCUUGUAUUUUGGAAUCAAUUAACUUUGUUGGAUCCCCUAAUUUUAUAUUCGAUUGCAAUCAACCAGCAUCUGGAUAGCUUGUUUAUUUCUUCCUUGAUGGUGUUGCAUCGUCUUUUGUUUUUCCUAUUCUAAUUUAGCCUGCUUUUCGUAUUUUUUCUUUUUGCAUGUACUGGGAUGAGAUUGAUUAUGUGACUAGAAGUAUUUUACGUAAAUUAGUUCAUGGUUAUUAUUAAAUGCAUUAGGGUUUGCUUAAUAUAUUUUCUUUAUUGAUUGCAGUACUUGUAUGAGUUUUGCUUCCUUUGCUUUUCUGAUAUAUGGUCUUCGAUUCGUUGUUCAUCAUAUGAGUUUCCGAUUUAUUAAUGUUUGUAUUGCUUGUUUCCAGUUAUCUACAAUGGCAGACAGCGAGGACAAGAACAUUGAGAUUUGGAAGAUAAAGAAGCUUAUAAAAUCACUGGAAGCUGCUCGGGGAAAUGGAACGAGCAUGAUUUCACUAGUCAUACCUCCUCGUGAUCAGAUAUCACGUAUUGCUAAGAUGCUCGGCGAUGAGUAUGGAACUGCUUCGAAUAUUAAGAGCAGGGUCAAUCGGCAGUCUGUACUUGGUGCUAUCACAUCUGCUCAGCAGAGGCUUAAACUCUAUAACAGGGUUCCUACGAAUGGACUUGUGUUGUACACCGGCACUAUUUUGACGGAUGAUGGGAAGGAAAAGAAAGUGACUAUGGACUUUGAGCCUUUUAAACCAAUCAAUUCAUCUCUCUACCUUUGUGACAACAAGUUCCAUACCGAAGCAUUGAAUGAACUAUUGGAGUCUGAUGACAAGUUUGGUUUCAUCGUCAUGGAUGGUAAUGGCACCUUGUUUGGAACACUGAGUGGGAACACCAGGGAAAUUCUGCAUAAGUUCUCAGUUGACUUGCCUAAGAAACAUGGAAGAGGAGGACAGUCGGCUCUUCGUUUUGCUAGACUCCGAAUGGAGAAGCGCCACAAUUAUGUGAGGAAGACAGCUGAACUUGCUACACAGUUUUAUAUAGACCCAUCCACCAGCCAGCCGAAUGUAUCUGGCCUAAUUCUUGCCGGAUCUGCCGACUUUAAGACUGAGCUGGGUCAGUCUGAUAUGUUUGAUGCUCGACUUGGAGCGAAGAUUCUGAAUGUUGUGGAUGUGUCCUAUGGCGGAGAAAACGGUUUCAACCAGGCAAUUGAGCUUUCUGCCGAGAUUUUGUCCAAUGUGAAGUUUAUCCAGGAGAAGAAGCUGAUAGGAAAGUACUUUGAAGAGAUUAGUCAAGAUACGGGGAAAUAUGUAUUUGGCGUGGAUGAUACAUUGUCAGCUUUGGAUAUGGGUGCAGUUGAGAUUCUCAUUGUGUGGGAGAAUCUAGAGAUCAACAGGUAUGAGUUGAAGAACAGUGCCAACGGUGAGAUUGUUGUCAAACAUUUUACCAAAGAGCAAGAGACCAAUGAAAGCAACUUUAGGGAUUCGUCCACUUCGGCUGAACUGGAGGUUCAGGACAAGAUGCCUCUGCUCGAAUGGUUUGCUAACGAGUACAAGCGAUUUGGUUGCACUCUUGAGUUUGUUACCAACAAAUCACAGGAAGGGUCCCAAUUCUGCAGAGGGUUUGGUGGUAUUGGUGGCAUUCUGCGUUACCAAGUCGACAUGAGAUCGUUUGAUGAUGUUUCCGAUGAUGGGGAAGGAGUUUACGAUUCUGAAUAGCAAUCAGAAAAAUCGCAAACCUCGCUGGCGCAGGAAAGCUGCAGGAAUAAAGAUCCUGCACCAGCAGCUGAGCCAGCGGCAGGUUUUCCUACGGCCCGGGGUAUGAAGAAGCACCCUGCUACCGAGAACAUUGAAGAAGAAAUCCACUCUAGUAAAGGUGUUGUCAAUUUCUUCUCCAUCCCCUGAUAUUACAUUAUUGUAAACACAUUUGUUAACUUGUUACUCAGUUUUGUUUUAACUUAAUUUUGCUUACCUCUCUGUUAUAGUAGGGGAUCGUGAUGGUAUAUAUACAAAGCUUCAAGGAGAGGAUCUGAUUGGUUCUGUGGGGGUUGACGCAUUUACUGUGCGACAGACUAUGAGUAGGAAAAGUCGUCUGAUGGAGGAAGGCCGUGAAGAGAAGUAAGAGAUGUUGGCCAGAAUCUAUUUGAUAAAGUGCUGCAACUUGCUCCGUAGUAGGAGUUGCAGUUGGUAGACUGUUGUUGUGUUUUCUUUUGAAUAUGGCUCAAUCGUCCUUGUUUUGCUAUUGGAUUGAGAACGGUUUAUUAUCUGAAUUUGGAUUUGAAUUUGCAUGUUGGACACAGCUAUUAGUUUUUCAUCCGUGAUGGUUUCUGAGUUUUGAAUGGAUGCAAAUGGGUUACAAGUUACAAUUAGUGUUGCUUCUAUCCAGAAAUUUAGGGAAACGAAAAGAAAUGAAUAAAAUGCAGGGAACUGGUUCUGAAGUGAAAUAUAGGCUUCUGUGAAGUUUCUACCUGUGGGGAUGAGCCAAAGUCAUAGCUUUAUAUAUAGCCUAUUUUACAGCUUUGAUGGCUUCAUGAGGUAGAAAUACAAUACUAUCUUGGUUGGUAUAUCGGUUUAAGAGUUACCAACUCUUAAUCCACGAUGCUAUCCGACUCUAGACACUUUGAUUCCUAGUUUCGUUCAUAGCUAGUGGGUUCAAGUACGAUUUUUGUCCGGUUACUUGGCUAGUUUUGUUGCUUGUGAUUUCUAAGAUUACGUUGUUUGGGUGUCAAGCUAAUCUUUGCAUAUUGGUUCACAGCAAAGGACAUUUCUAGUACUCAUACCACCAAAAAAAAUGGGUCUCAUCGGGUUAAAUUGCAUUUUGGAACCUUCUUGGCAUAAACACGUUUACAUGAUUUCAGGUGAGUAAGACAAAUCCAUGAAUGAUGAAUUCAUUAAAAAAAAUGUCGAUACAAUAUAUACAUACUUGAACAAUGAACGUCACUAAACUCAGCCAUACCCAGUUGCUUCAGCAAAAUUUUGCAGUAUAAAGUAAACCAUUCCAAUACAGAGAUUUUCUACUUCCCAAACGAAUUGAAUGAACCCAUCAGCAGAAUCAAAAUACGAAGGGCAUAAAAAGAAUGACACCCCAGAGAAAGAUGCACAUAUUUUCUGUUAUAAAUACAAAUUUAGCUUUUUCUUAUCUUGUUCAUAAAUUUGGAUUUUCUUCCGAGGAUGACUCGGAGGCAGAAUCAUCCGUUGUCGAGUUCGGAAGGGUCUCACUAUCUGAACUCCCCGCUGCAGGUUUCUCCUCCGUAGGUUGCUUUAAUUGCCAGUACAUAAUGCUGGCCGUUAGUGUCAGGAUCAUCUUCUGAUUCACCUGAAAACCAAACCAUUUUUUUAACUGUCAGCUUUGCUUUCCGGUACAACAGACAACCAAGGCAGUAUUCACAGGAACUCAUACCUCAGUUAAGUCCUCCGGAAGCAGAAAUAUCGAACAUCCUAGCUUUCUAGCUAUGCUGAUGAUAUAUGUGGCGUUCAUCUUUUUCUCUUCAUCUGCUCAUUGCGGGAUUCCAAGUUAUACAAUCAAACUCAUGGGAUGAUACAAGUUGAGAAUCAUUUGUAGACACUUGUGAUAAAAACAAAAAGAAAAAUAUAGUUCCAUUCACCUGUUAUGCCUUUAGUUACGAGACUCCAAUUCACUGCUCUUGGCUGAACCGCACUGAGCAACUCAAGGAAGAAUACGCCAUCUGACAAGCUUUUAUCCUGUAGGAAGAAGUAGAGGGCCCAUUUACCAUCGUGCUGUUUGUGAAUAAAGUUUGAAACUUGAUACUCUGAUCAGAAAAUGGACGCACCUUAAAGCUGUUCAUGCGAGUUUGGCCACCCAAGCUACUGACUCUGGUGUUGGCCCAUUGUAAGAUAUCAACGUCAUUGAUUUCUUUUCCGUGGGAAUGGAAUCUCAAGUUCUUGAGGAGUUGGAGGAUAUUGUACCUCAUCAACUGCCACAAGUAAGCUAGAAGACGAUUCUCGGGUUGGUUCAUAAUGCUAUUUGAAUGAUACCCUCACAUGUAGGAAAAGAAUAUGCUUUAGAGACCAAAUAAAAGAGGAGCAGCAUUCAUUAUUACCUAGUAUCAAUUUCUUGUUUCCUUGUACGAUGUCAUUUCCAGCAAUGUUAACGAGGGAGAAUUUUAGUUGUUUCCCUAUUUUCACGACCUGGUUGCAGUUCUCCACCUUUCUGAAUGGCAAUUUGAUUGGCGGUUUAUUUGCGAUCCUCCAGUUUACAAUUCCCGGGGACACCUUAUCAAGCGUCUCCAGAAGCAGCCACCUGCAAUAGUUCAUCGCAGGUUACAAAAAUGCCACUAGGAGAUAGCCUUUAAGUCAGAAAUAUCGGACGGAUUAACAAAUAAUCUGAAUGUUCGUAAGUUUAAGCAAGAUUGCAAUAUUUUUUUAGCAACUCCACUAUUCCAUCACUCACCCGUUCCUAAGAUCUUCAAAGACGUUGUCUAUAUAACUAGAGUUUCCUAGACUGUUCAUCCACAAUCUGAAUGCCCGCUCUUCUCUGGAGAUUUGGGUGUCAUCGGGUAAAGUCUCAAGGAAACUUAUCUGCGGUUUAUCGGUCGAUAGCCCAUUCCUGUAGCCAAAAGACGGCAAGAAAAUUUCAGAUAACUCUUCUCGGCAAUUACGUUUCGAAGAAGAGCUUGCAUAUUAUCAUCAAAACCACAUCCAUUCAAUUCAAUUAUUCGCAUUAGACAAGAUCCAUCCCUCACCUAUGCUGAAAAAUAUGGGCAACGAAGGCCAGAUUAAGAUUUGGGGAACCUUCAACGAUAUCUUUUGCCGUUAAGUAUCUCUUGCACCCCAUUCUGUCAGCAUGUUCAAGGACCAACUUUGCUCUUGCCAAAUAAUCUUUGACUGUUAGAGUGGAUGGAUUACUGCACUCGGGAGCAAGAAUAUUUAGAAGGUGGGCAUAAGCCUCUGCAUCCUGCAAUCAGAACCAUCCGACAGUGAACAAAUAGAAGAGCAUAUCAGAGUAUGACAUAAUGUAGUUUUCCAUAGAUCCAUACAAUUGGUUGUAAAUCUGGAGAUGGCUGUCGUUCAAGUUUAUGAACAAACACCAUGAGAAAGAGGAGGAAUUACACCAGACAAAAUUGCAGGAAGGGAACCAGUAGGAAAUAAUAUUGAAAGAGUUGUGUUGGUAACUCUUUUUAGGGUUAGAUUUCUAUUGCAACAGAAUCCAGAUCACCUCUCAAAUCUCAGUUCAGUUAUAUUUUGUUUUAUGUGAUGAUGAUGCUCUCACAUAAUGAUAACAUCAGUUAUGAACUCUAGGAGUUUUAAUCAAUGAAUUAAAUAAGUUACUUUCACCAAAGAGGUCCUCCGUUGUAUGGGAUAUUAAAGUUUUAAUUUUUUCAUUGAGUUCUUAUAUGCUAGAACAUGUGAAAAUUUCAAGUGAACCUUGACUAGAAUAAACCGAGCAAUACUUUGACAUUAGAAUUGACAAGUAUUCUAUGCUUAUAACCGUGUACUACUCACCUUGGAAACUAGCUUCAAAACUAACCAUUUAAAAAUGCCAUGUUUACAUUUGGCAUCCAAACGUUUGAGCCAACAAUCGCUGGUAUGGAUUUUCAUGGUAUACAUACCUUCACAUCAGAAGAGAAGUUUGAGACUGUUUUCUUGUAUGGUGAUUUCUUCAGUUGAAAAUUCAUCCAUCUCAAUAAGAUCUUCUCUGGCGGUAGACUCAUCAACUCUUCUACUUCCUAUAUGUUCAGAAAUGCUAUUUAGAAGAAUUCGUAUGACGACACAGAUAUAAACGAAUCACCUGAGAGAUUGGUGUACAUACCUGACUGUCAUGGACCAACUCCAACAACUGAGGUGUUUUCUUAAGGUUGAGGUCUGCCAAGAGUUGUAUCUGUAAUUAUUUGAAGAUUGAAGACUGUUAAGAAAAAUACAAAUGCAGACUAGAAAUGGAAAGCUACCAAAGAACCUAUUGAACUGUACCUUGAUAAUUUGAGAAAUCAAUCCAAGCACAAGAUGGCGCUGAAAAUUGGAACAAGAUAUUGUUAACUUAACACAGACAACGGUUAUCAAGUAGAUUCUAUGAUUGCAGAACAAACCAAUGACAACAAUAAAAAGUAAGCCUAUUUGUACAAAGAAUACAAAUGAUCGAAGUAGAGGAUUUCCAUACUCUUCCUUCAAUGAAGUCUUGGGUGCCAAUAUUGACAACAGUACAACCAAUAGCCUUGCAAGAGUUGAGGCAGAGUGUAUGAUUUUCAUUUCUUUCCCACGGAUUGAGAACACUCUUAGUAUUAAUGGCCCUUUCAUCAAUUGUACCAGGAACAGCCACAUUGAUAAGCUUACUGCAAAAAGCAAGGAAACUUUAGCAACCAGGAAAUGGACACUAGCAACAACAGUGAUUAGGUUGCACCAGUUAAAGGCGAAGUUACCAAAGAAGCACACCAUCCUUGACAAUCUCAAAAAGAUCAUUAGUUGAAGGAUCUAUAGGUAGGUAUUGUUUCAAGAAGUUAUCUCCUGCUAAGUAGUUAUUAAUGUGGGCUACAUAAGAAGCCUUUUCUGGGUCGCUGAUGGUGUGAAGCAGCGUGGUGGUGGCAGCUUUGAGGAAUGCGGAUGAGUUCUUAGCCACGCUUCCUGUUCUGGCACUUGCAUGUACAUGAAGCUUCAAAUACACCUGCAAUCAUUAACACAACUUCUAGAUUAAACAAUUACAGAACAACAGUGUGGGGAGCUAUGAUGAUGGCCACUUGUGAAGAAGCCACAUUACAUAAUUACUAAUUACUGACCCUACCCUACUAACAACUUUCGUGAUUGAUUUAUAAUUUCCUUAAAACAAACACAUCAAACAGGAGAUGAAUUCUUUGACCAGUUUCCAGCUUCUGAUAUCAUAAUUCAGAUUGAUUAUGAACAUUUCAAUGGCUGUUUUACUUUUACUAUUUUUUCCCCAUUUCUCCCAAGAUAUUGGAAAGAAGAUCUCCCUGGUUGGCACGUAAUCUAACUAUCUAAGCAUAGCCAGAUCGAUCGGGACGGAGAAACAACAGUGGAGAAUUGGAGAGAGAUAGAUAGUAGAAGGAGGCAAACCUUGAGAAAAAACUCGAAAUCGACCUCAUCGUCAAGAUUCUGAUACAAAUCCUGAAUAAAAGAAGCUCGCUCUGCCUCGGUCAAAUUCUCUCCCACAACUUUCAAUCUGGACAUCCGCGACGCCAUGUCCCUGAGCGUCAACUUCCCACUCUCUCUUCUCAUGCUAAUAAACUUCUCUCCGAAAACAGUUCCAAGUCAGCAAACAGUACACGGAGGUGGCAUAACAUGAACGAAGACUAACAUUUAACAGAACGAAAAGAAACAAAUCCAUCGCAAAAUACUUGGUUUGAAACUUACGUGAGAUUUUAAGCUGCGGAGCUCCACCUGAGUGAACUGGUUCUGGAGCCAUGGAUCUGAGACGAGAACUCCUACAUAGGCCGACAUUAGAUGGUUCCUUCUCGAGAGUCGUCCUAUCAAAGCUAGGAAUGAAACAGAUCAAGCUGCGAUUGCGAUCAGCGUCUCCUCCUUCUUAGUGAUUGGCUGGAGGUCUGUGUAGUAGUUUCUGGAUUUGCAGAGUGAAUGGGGAAAGAGAAGAGGAAGGGGGCAAUGGAACGUGGUGGGAGGAGGAGUAGUAGUAGUAAUACUGUUUGGAUUGGGAGAGAAAUGAAAUGAGAAAUGGAGGGGACGGAGGCGGAGCUGUCAAAGGAGGAGGUUCAAACAAUUCAAAUUAUUACCGAUUUUGUCCCCCUUCUACUCUUCUUCGUCUUCCUCCUCAUGCUCUGUGGGUCCCAUAACAACGGAACGGGGGGUUUGGAAUUCAAUAUCUGACCGACUAAUUAUCUAAAAUAUAAUAUUUUAAAAUAUUUAAUUGAACACAGCCCAAACUUUUUUCAAAUAUCUUUUCGGUCCCAAUUAAUUCCAAGCUGUUAAUCUCAAAUAUACCUCUUAUCCUUGUAAUUCAUUUUACUGAUUAUUUUGCACUAAAUAUCUUCAUUAAUCAUACAUUAAUUAACAAUUAUUCAACUUUAGACUUUUGUGACCACAUCAGCAACUUUGACAAUUAUUUCAUUUUGUAAUUUCGAAUUAUUUCUACAAUCUUAUAGUAAUUUCUAUUGAUAAAACCUAUAAUAUAAUUUACCUUAAAAAUUCUAUUUUAUUGGGUCAACAAUCAUAAAAAAAGUUAGUAAUUUAUCCUAAACAAAAUUAGGUAUGAAUAAAUUCUAUUUUUUGGGAGAUGGUCCAACAUGCACAUUAACAAUCUUUUUAAUUUAUAAAGUAUUACAAUAUUUUUAGCAAUUGCUAAUCAAUUGUUAAAAUAUAAAGAUGGAGAUAUUCUUAUGCAAUAAAAAGAAUAGUUGCUGAUUGGUCAAAAAUUUUAAAGAUAACAUUAUUUGUAAUAACAUUUUAUAAAGGAGGUGAAACUUAUAGUAUACAUGUUUGAUAAUAAUCUACAAAAAAAUCAUAAAGAUUAGAAUAAAAAUAAAAUUUGUUCUACUUAAAUAACUUUUGAAGUGGUUGUAUAUAAAUUUAUAUGAACGUUACAACACAUGUUUGUUUGAUCUUAAAGCAUGAGUUCUACGAAAUGUUUGUUGGUAGACUAGACCCUUAUUAAGAUAAUAAGAUCUCUAAAGUAAAGGUAAAAAAUACGCAUAUAUACUGUUUUACCAAGGAUGUAACAGAAUACAUCUACUCUAAAGCGAUGGGUUGGACGAUUGGUAGCUUAAUUAUGUGACGUGACGUGACUUUUGGAGUUUGGACUUUUGUUAAUAUCACACCGUUACUAAAUGCUACUGAAACGAAACUUAUAAUUGGGCAAUGCAGUGAAUUUCUCCAAGAAUAAGGGCGAUUUCAAAUUUGGAAAAGGGCCUACACAUACGCUUUUGAAAAAAAAAGGUAGCUGAUGCCCACACAUGACUCAACGGUCGUUUGAUUCACAACUUGUACUCCAUCCUAUACUCCCCUUCUUCACUCACUGGGACUAAUAUUUCUUAUUCAAUAAUUAAACACAAAUAUUGCAAUGUAUGAGAUGGUCAUAAAUCAACUACAACAAAGUGAUUCUUAAACUUAUCAUUAAUGUUAUGUCGAUUAUACCAUUCGGAAGUCUAUAUCUGCCUUCUAUAAUCAUGGCCUAAAUGAAUGGAUCAUUCAUUUAGACAUUCUACGGAAAUAAUUAGAAAAUGUGCAUGCACUGCUAUCAUCAACAGAUGCCCCUUCCUUGCCACCACUGGAGCAAUGAUUGAUGCGUAGGCCGGAAAUAACACAUUAUGUGUGUAAUUAGUUUCGACUGCUCGUGAACCAUGAAAUGAUGAAGUUAGCAGGCCUAUGAUGUCAACACCACAUGCUCGAGCUUAGUUCGUUUCACAAUUAAACCGAACGGUGAGGUACCGACUAUCAUCUUUCACUAAACGAUAACGACUGGAUGAGAUCAGAUCAGUAACGAUACAACAGGAUUUGGAAAGGGAAACGGAAAGCAGGUGAGUUAGGAGAAGAGCAAAGCAAGGCAAAAUCACUGAUAAAUCAGGUGAAGCUCCUGCCAGUGAAGUCGAUACAGACAGCCAACCACCAGCAAAGGGACCCCCGAAAUGUGCCUAAAACACAAGUCGGUUAAAGGAAACAACUUUUUUCCCUUCAUUGUGGAUUAUCCUCAUUGAGUGCUACAUUUCUCCUCCACAAAUGCUUUACCAAAAAGGCAAACCCAAAAGAGGGAAUGAAUAAAAGACAGCAUCUUGCGUGCCAGCCAGUGCACACCUUAUGGGGCAAAAGUUUGUGUACCAACAAUCCUUGCUGUGUUUGCUUCUAAUCUUCACAGCAUCCAAAUCCAAAUCAAUCUUCUCAUACUGCAUAUUUUCCUUACUUUGGACCAAAUCUCCUGCACUAGUAUACUUACUUUCUUUAUACAUGGCAUUCUGAUCUUCAUUAUUGCUACCCGAUUCUGUAUAUCAUCAAAAAUAUUAGAAGAGUACUAACUCCAGUCAUGUGGGUUUAUCAUCAGGAUCUGAUUAAGGGUGGCUAUUAUUAUAUUUACUUGUAAACAGGAGGAGGCUUGUUAAAACAUAAGUCAUGAAUAUCAUGCGGUUGCGACAGUGUCAUUUUCAGAUAGUCUCCAUCUUACUUUUGGAUCUUGUAAACACUGGACAGCUUUUUCUCAUGCAUUCAUCUCUCUUUCUUUUUGCAAGAAGAAGUGAUAGAUGUGGGCCCAAGCGAGUUACCUAGUUUUCUCAUCAGCAGCAAAAGGAUAACAUUGUUGAAAAUACUAUGCCCCUGUCAAGGAGUGAUUUGUCUGGUAGUGCUGAAAGGAAGACUAGAAUGCGAUCUCUUCAAGGAUUUCAAGCGUGUUUUGGUGAACCUGGUUUCAUGGUAACAAACAUAACUUUAACAUUGGGGCAUGAUUGCAGAUUCUUAAAUUACAAUGAUAUGGAGGGAUUACUGUCAGUCGUUGAUAUGUUCAAUCCAAAUUUUAUGAGCACUAAACGAGGGGCAGACAAGCACACGUUAACAAGUCAUACUGGGAAAAAAGGGAAGUUACCCAUUCUAGAUGCUGUGCUGUGAUGCCAGAGACAUUUCCAGAGUAUAUGCCACCAAGUACCUAAAAAAUCGAGAGACAAGCAUAAAAUGGUUGUCACAUUAGCAGGUGAAAAGGGAUGAACAGGGCCAUAUUAGUAGAAGCUGGCUUCUGCAGGACCAGCAAGUGAUAAUCAUCAAAUCAUGUAAACCAAAGAUGCUCAAAUAAGCAAGACGAGAAAACAUUAGUAUUUGACACCAGAAUUAUUUGAUUUCCUACUUGAAUUUAUUCCAUAUCUUUCUAUUUGGAUUUAGAGGAACAAGGAUUGGAAAUUUUAUCAUUAUCCCUAGUUCAAAUUUAGUAGUAUUGUAUCAGGGGUUCAGUCACAGUGUGACAAAGAAUGAAGCGACUAGGCGAGUACCUUGGUGACAGUCUCAAGAAAGAUGCCAGGGCGUACGGGAAGUGGUUUUCGGCCACUGACACUUCCCUAUGAACAUGGAGAAGAAACAUGAAACAUCUGAUAUAUCUCAAGCAAAAGAGAAUAAAGGUAUCUGGAAUCGCUUUCGAAAUCCCCACUAUAAACACCAUUGUAAGUUUAAGCUCACCCUUCCUGCAAUUCCUUUUAAAUCCCUUUCAUUGAUGCGGCCUCCCUCCUCAGUAGUAUCUUCUGUACCUUCAUCUUUUCCCAGCAUCACAUUUUUUAUCAUGUCGCGUAGAGUUCUCCCAGGUCUCAGAGCAACUAGUUUGGUUAAGAAGUUCACCUGCAUGAACAAGAUCCGCAUCCAUCACCGCUUAACGAGUUGCACUGUUAACAUUAUAGGUAUUGAUUUAGUUUCAGUGAACCUAACAAUAAGAAGGAAUGCACUUAAGUGUCAUAUUAUGCUUUGAUGUGACAAAGUGGGUACCUCAGAUUCAGGAAGAGUGGUAAAUCCACGGUCAUUUCUUUCAUCCAAUAUUCCACCUCCCAUCAUCUCCCUGGCUUCCUCUCUGAUCAAGACAAGCCUUGCAAGUAGUUUGCGAUCAGGAAUCACAGGUCGAGUUUCCAUCGUCUAAAGUUGGAGCAGACAAAUACAUAUGUUAUGGUUUGUCAUUUGUGACGAUACAAAUUAUAUAAAACUACAGCAAAGUUCACCAGAAAGACAAUCACGAUCAAACAAAUGAGGACUGUCUAUCACCUCAAGUAUGUCAUCCGCUUGGUUAGCGAUUUCAUUUAAAUUUGCUCCAGGGAGAUGAACUUUUGUUCCCUCCUUUCCUUCAAAGGCACCGCCACCAGCAGCCACUCGACGUAAUAGCUCAUGCCUGCUCUCCUUGUCCGGAGUUCUACAUAGCAAACCAACCACUUGAACCUGCAAUUGCAUGGAGAUCAGGUUUUUCAAGCAAGGCCAUUUUCUAUACAAAAUGGAAAUGGAAAAAAUGGUAGUUAAACUUCAGGCGAAAUCCUUACAUGUGGGGGGCAUUUUCUAGUCAGAUGGCCCAACACAGUUUCCUUGAUAACUCCCAACAGUUCCUUUCGCUGCAACGAAUCCAUAAUAUUAAACAGUCAAAAUUUCAUUUCCUAACCUCGCAAUCCAAAGAUAAAACCUUGUUUAAGGAAACUGAAUCCUUGUGAAAAGAGAAAAUAUCCAAAGUUCAGUGUGUGACUGAUGCCUCAGAUAGAUGAGCUUACACUAGAAGCAUAAUCUUAACUUGCAAACCCACUAAGGCGCUAUAGAUUUUACCUUGUCAUCUUGGUCUUUGCCAGCAAGGUCAAUCAUAUAAUCUAAGGCCAUCAUAAACCCAGACUCCAUCUCGUCCACUCUUUUCCCUAUCACUCCUUGUGCAGCUAAUUCAACUGCCACUUCCUCAGAUGCUUCAUCCAUGUUCAUGUCUUUCAACUGCAACAAAUUAGGUUACAGAUUACACUGAAUAUUAUCCCCUCUAAUAAAUACUAUAUUGCGCAAUAAAUACUAUACUGCCCAAUUAGCAAAACAAAAACGAAGUAGCACUUAUUCUGAGAAUUCAAAGUCAACAAAAAGAGCUUACAAGGGUAAUCAUCUCUUCGAGGACGGAAGUGACCUGGUCACCGCCUCUGAGCAGAGCUUCGUACCCAGAACUGUCGGGCUUGUCAUUCCACUCUUCUUUGGUCCUGGUUCUAGUAGUUGGUAUCCCCAGUUCUUGCUCCAUGUACCUUUCUGCCUCCUCAUUACUGGCGCACUUCGCCGGUAGCAGCCGCUGCGUUCUCUUAGGUUGCUUCAGACGGCCAUGUUUAUGGUGGUGGGGCGAUUGGAGACGGAACUCAAAUGUUGGUGACAACAUUUUUCCCCAGCAAGCAGAGCUGAGCUGAGCUGAGCUGAGGUUUUGGGUUUUUGAGGUAGAUAAUCAUUUCUGAACCGAAUAAACAAACGGGAAUCCUGUGAAAAUUGGAAAAAAAAGAUGACCGGAUCCUACGCCGUCUGUGGGAAUCGAACCCACGACCACGUGGUUAAAAGCCACGCGCUCUACCGGCUGAGCUAAGACGGCUUGGUGAAUACUUGCGUUAAUAAUAAAUUACUACUCAGUUAUAAGAGUCAUCUGUGGUGAAUAGAAUAAAGUCCGAUUUACAAGGUGUGCACUGUGCACCCGGUCAUCAAACUCACCAUUAGAUUUAUGUGAUUUUGUACAUUAUGUCGACUAUUUUACGGAAAAAGAGAGCAUACUAUUAUUAGAGUUUUUGUACAGUUUACAUUUCAACGCAAGAUUUUUAAUUUAUAAUAUAACUUGUUCUACUCGCUAUAAGAACAUGAUAACGAGUUGGUAAUCUCUUUUGUGAAAUAGUCGACAUGUGAAAAACCACAUAAAUCACAUGUUCUUCAAUAUAUUAUUCUUCAAUUUUAACGUAUUUAAACCAAAAGAAUGAUUUUUUCCAAUUUAACAAUGCAAAAUGAAGAAUACACUAGAAAGGAAACGAAUGCAUUUUCAUUAAACAUAGUAGGAAACAUCCUCGAAACCGAGGCUUAGGGAAGCAAAACAACAGUUACAACUUACAACAAGAGACAUGAUCAGUUCAAACCCAUAAAUAAACGAAAGUGACUUCAAUUCAACCUGAGAAAGAGUAGAUAUAUUAACUCUAGUCUCUAACACCAACAAUAAAAGCCCUCAGAAACUAAGUCAACAGCACCAUCUAG